rnacentral:rRNA from 1 species
AUUGAACGCUGGCGGCAUGCUUUACACAUGCAAGUCGAACGGUAACAGGCCUUCGGGUGCUGACGAGUGGCGAACGGGUGAGUAAUGCAUCGGAACGUACCCAGAGGUGGGGGAUAACGCAGCGAAAGCUGUGCUAAUACUGCAUGUGAUCUGAGGAUGAAAGCGGGGGACCGAGCAGCAAUGUUUGGCCUCGCGCCUUUGGAGCGGCCGAUGUCGGAUUAGCUAGUUGGUGGGGUAAAGGCCUACCAAGGCGACGAUCCGUAGCUGGUCUGAGAGGACGACCAGCCACACUGGGACUGGGACACGGCCCAGACUCCUACGGGAGGCAGCAGUGGGGAAUUUUGGACAAUGGGCGCAAGCCUGAUCCAGCAAUGCCGCGUGCGGGAAGAAGGCCUUCGGGUUGUAAACCGCUUUUGGCAGGAACGAAACGGUGUCCGCUAAUACCGGGCGCUAAUGACGGUACCUGCAGAAUAAGCACCGGCUAACUACGUG